UCAGCCCUGAUUUCUAGGGAAAUUGAAGAUUCCAGGCCAGACGUCACUGAGGAAUGCUGUGAAGGGGUGCUGAGCAUUGCAAGCUGUGUGUUGGGGGGAGAAAAGCACCCAGAUGUGUCACAACCAAAACUAAUCAGCAACUUGGAAAAAUGUCAGCAGGCCUCCAUGUGCUCUCCUCAGCCUGACUUUAUGAUGCCAACUUUGGGUCUAAGACAAAACAAAGGACAGAACUGGGAAGAGUGCUUCUUUGUCAUAAGUGAAACUCUGGGGUAGAUCCCUGCACCCCAAGAGACAGCAACAAAAACAAAACAAGUGAAAAAUCUAUGGUGGUGGAGUGCUUCUUGGAUUUCUCCCUCCCACCCACCCCCACCCCAAAUAAAAUAAAUAAUACUAAAACAUC